rnacentral:rRNA from 1 species
AUGGAUCCCGAUCUGCGCGCAUACCUCGAUCGGUUGGACUCCAGCGCCAACGAACAGGCGGCCGCCGCAGAGACCAAUUCCAAUGAACGCGCCGCCGCCGCAGAUGCCAAGACCAACUCCAUCCUUAAGGCGCUCGAUGCACAAACCGAGCGGAUCAACGCUCUGGCCGCCUGGAGACCAGGGCUUGAAGCCCGCUUCGCCAAGCUAGAGCUCUCCGUCGCCGUGUUGCAGGCUGCGUCACCUGCGGCCCCGGCCUCUCCUAGUGGAACGCCGUCGCCGCCACCCCUCUUCACGGUGCCCCACGAAUUCCAUGGGCAAACUAGACACGGCGUGACGCAUCUUAUCAGAGGAUCCCCAUCGGUGACCAGGGAGUCACCGGCGGCCCCUCCGGUCACGGGUACGGUCGCCAUCCCCCCUACCUUAUCUGCACUGAUCCUCACAGCCAUGGGUCACCAACCACCGACCAUGUCAUUUCCUAUUUUUUCCGGCGAUAAUCCUCAGUUGUGGCGGACACUUUGCGAGCAAUACUUCACCAUGUUCGCUGUCCAUGAAUCCUAUUGGGUUUCAAUGGUCGUUCCGCACUUCUCCGGCACUACAGCCAUCUGGUUGCAGUCCGUUCAGAAACGGAUCAGUAACAUGGUGUGGGAGCAAUUUACAACUCUGAUUUCCACUUGA